rnacentral:other from 1 species
AAGUUUCUGCGGUGUACGUUGCGAUCAUUUAAUUCAACCUACAUGACUCAUAUGGGAUUCCAAAGUUUAGUAUGGGAUGACAUGCCUUUAUUGGACGUCAAAGCAUAUUAACAGGAAACCCCCCUUAAUAUAUAAGGGUAUGAAUUAACUGACAUGACGGCAUUGUGGAAAUAUA